GUGACUGCGUACCUUUUGUAUAAUGGGUCAGCGACUUAUAUUCUGUAGCAAGGUUAACCGUAUAGGGGAGCCGGAGGGAAACCGAGUCUUAAUUGGGCGUUAAGUUGCAGGGUAUAGACCCGAAACCCGGUGAUCUAGCCAUGGGCAGGUUGAAGGUUGGGUAACACUAACUGGAGGACCGAACCGACUAAUGUUGAAAAAUUAGCGGAUGACCUGUGGCUGGGGGUGAAAGGCCAAUCAAACCGGGAGAUAGCUGGUUCUCCCCGAAAGCUAUUUAGGUAGCGCCUCGUGAAUUCAUCUCCGGGGGUAGAGCACUGUUUCGGCUAGGGGGCCAUCCCGGCUUACCAACCCGAUGCAAACUGCGAAUACCGGAGAAUGUUAUCACGGGAGACACACGGCGGGUGCUAACGUCCGUCGUGAAGAGGGAAACAACCCAGACCGCCAGCUAAGGUCCCAAAGUCAUGGUUAAGUGGGAAACGAUGUGGGAAGGCCCAGACAGCCAGGAUGUUGGCUUAGAAGCAGCCAUCAUUUAAAGAAAGCGUAAUAGCUCACUGGUCGAGUCGGCCUGCGCGGAAGAUGUAACGGGGCUAAACCAUGCACCGAAGCUGCGGCAGCGACGCUGAUGCGUUGUUGGGUAGGGGAGCGUUCUGUAAGCCUGCGAAGGUGACCUGUGAGGGUUGCUGGAGGUAUCAGAAGUGCGAAUGCUGACAUAAGUAACGAUAAAGCGGGUGAAAAGCCCGCUCGCCGGAAGACCAAGGGUUCCUGUCCA
rnacentral:rRNA from 1 species